rnacentral:rRNA from 1 species
AACGAACGCUGGCGGCAUGCCUAACACAUGCAAGUCGAACAAGACCUUCGGGUCUAGUGGCGCACGGGUGCGUAACGCGUGGGAACCUGCCUUUAGGUUCGGAAUAACUCAGAGAAAUUUGAGCUAAUACCGGAUAAUGUCUUCGGACCAAAGAUUUAUCGCCUUUAGAUGGGCCCGCGUUGGAUUAGCUAGUUGGUGGGGUAAAGGCCUACCAAGGCGACGAUCCAUAGCUGGUCUGAGAGGAUGAUCAGCCACACUGGAACUGAGACACGGUCCAGACUCCUACGGGAGGCAGCAGUGGGGAAUAUUGGACAAUGGGCGAAAGCCUGAUCCAGCCAUGCCGCGUGUGUGAAGAAGGUCUUCGGAUUGUAAAGCACUUUAAGUUGGGAGGAAGGGUAGUAACCUAAUACGUUGCUACUUUGACGUUACCGACAGAAUAAGCACCGGCUAACUUCGUGCCAGCAGCCGCGGUAAUGUCACAUGUG